rnacentral:tRNA from 1 species
GGGGUUGUGGCUCAGUGGUAGAGCACUUGCCUAGCACAUGUGAGGCCCUGGGUUCGAUUCUCAGCACCA